AUUGAACGCUGGCGGCAUGCCUUACUCAUGCAAGUCGAACGGUAACGGGCCUUCGGGUGCCGACGAGUGGCGAACGGGGGAGUAAUACAUCGGAACGUGCCCGAUCGUGGGGGAUAACGAGGCGAAAGCUUUGCUAAUACCGCAUACGAUCUACGGAUGAAAGCAGGGGACCGCAAGGCCUUGCGCGGACGGAGCGGCCGGUGGCAGAUUAGGUAGUUGGUGGGAUAAAAGCUUACCAAGCCGGCGAUCUGUAGCUGGGCUGAGAGGAUGAUCAGCCACACUGGGACUGAGACACGGCCCAGACUCCUACGGGAGGCAGCAGUGGGGAAUUUUGGACAAUGGGCGCAGGCCUGAUCCAGCCAUGCCGCGUGCAGGAUGAAGGCCUUCGGGUUGUAAACUGCUUUUGUACGGAACGAAAAGCCUUCUUUUAAUACAGGAGGGUCAUGACGGUACCGUAAGAAUAAGCACCGGCUAACUACGUG
rnacentral:rRNA from 1 species